GAUGAAGAACGUAGCGAAAUGCGAUAAGUAGUGUGAAUUGCAGAAUUCAGUGAAUGAUCGAAUCUUUGAACGCACAUUGCGCCCCUUGGUAUCCCGAGGGGCAUGCCUGUUCGAGCGUCAUUUCACCACUCAAGCCUGGCUUGGUGUUGGGCGACGUCCUCUUUGGGGACGCGCCUCGAAACGCUCGGCGGCGUGGCACCGGCUUUAAGCGUAGCAGAAUCUUUCGCUUUGGAAGUCGGGGCCCCGUCUGCCGGAAGACCUGCUCGCAAGGUUGACCUCGGAUCAGGCAGGGAUACCCGCUGAACUUAAGCAUAUCAAUAAGCGGAGGA
rnacentral:misc_RNA from 1 species